ensembl:lncRNA novel transcript
CAGCCACAUAAAGGAUUUGAAAGCUCAACUUGCUUUCCCACUCUGUUAUCCCUGGAGUUGGCUUGGAUUCACCCUGAAGCCUUCCCCCUCCCGGGGAAAGUUGCUUCACGUUGCAGCUCAGCAGGUUUGUCCAGCUACAUAGGCUCCAGAAAACAAGAAGCAAGACUGGAAAGCUGGGGAUGAUUGUACGCCCUCGCCUGAAUCUUACGUGGUUCCUCCUUCUUCCACCUGGCCAGUGCAGAGCCGUGGGUGCCACGUGGCCACUUCUGGAUUGGGUUCCCCUUGGCCUGCCACCCUGUCCUUCUGCUUUCCCACUUUGCCAGCCAGAGUCAAUUUGAGGACGCCAAGUUCUCCUCUCCAUACAGAGCUCCUGGUCUCCUUGUAACUUGUAACUCCUGGGCACAGUUACAAGUGCUGAAUUCUUGCGAGGAUGAACUCAAGAUACAAAAUAUGCUUGGCAACUCACCCCUGAGUGGCCACAGGCACACGCAGGAGUCGAACCCACCCACCUCUGCUGACAGUCAUGGGUCAAGCUCAAAGUCCUGGCUGCUUCUCUGCUCAAGAAGAAAAGACACAGAGGCAAAGAGAAACACAUAGAGAGGAGAAUGCCUCGUGAAAAUGGAGACCGAGAUUGGUGCAAUGUGUCCACAAGCCAGGGAAUGCCAACGUGGCCAGCAACCACCAGAAGCUGGGAGAGAGGCAUGGAACAGAGUCCUCGGAGCCUCCAGAAGGAACCAACCCUGUUGAUACCUUGACUGAAAACUUCCAGCCUCCAGAACUGUGACAGAAUUAAUUUCUGUUAUUUAAAGCCAUUCAGUCUGUGGUAAUUUGUUACAUCAGCCCUGAAUAGCAAAUACAGAUGACCCAGGUUUAAAUCCUAGUUCUGCCACUUAUGAGCGUGGGUACAUAACUACUUUCUAGAGCCCCGGUUUCCUCAUCUGUAAAAAACCUCAUACGGUUAUUAAGAAGAUCAAAUGAGAUACAAACAUAAAUUCUUAACAGUGCUGGCAUGUUAAUUGUUCAAUAAAUAUGAGUUAUUUACAACAAUUGUGAUAGUAAUGAGUAACACAGAGAAAUGAGAAUUGACUUAACAGAGGCUGGCUCGGCAAGCCUCUAUGCCAACAAAAUUUAUUUGGAAAUCAAAAGUAUUUACUUCAGACUGGGCGCAGUGGCUCACACCUGUAAUCCCUGCACUUGAGGUCAGGAGUUGGAAACCAGCCUGGCCAACAUGGUGAAACCUCAUCUUUACUAAGGGAGGAGACCACCCCUCAUAUUGUCUGCAUAUGCCCAGUUUCUGCCUCCAAAGAAAGAAGAAGUAAAAACUAAAAGGCAGAAAUGAAGUCCACAGGCAGACAGCCCGGUGCCACACCCUGGGCUUGGUAGUUAAAGAUCGACCCCUGACCUAAUCAGUUAUGUUAUCUAUAGAUUACAGGCAUUGUAUAGAAAAGCACUGUGAAAAUCCCUGUCCUGUUCUGUUCUGUUAUAAUUACUGGUGUAUGCAGCCCCCAGUCACGUACCCUCUACUUGCUCAAUCGAUCACGACCCUCUCACGCAGACCCCCUUAGAGUUGUGAGCCCUUAAAAGGGACAGGAAUUGCUCACUCGGGGAGCUCGGUUUUUGGAGACGUGAGUCUUGCCGAAGCUCCCGGCUGAAUAAAGCCCUUCCUUCUUUAA